GUGCCAGCAGCCGCGGUAACACCGGCGGCCCGAGUGGUGAUCGUGAUUAUUGGGUCUAAAGGGUCCGUAGCCGGUUUGGUCAGUCCUCCGGGAAAUCUGAUAGCUCAACUAUUAGGCUUUCGGGGGAUACUGCCAGACUUGGAACCGGGAGAGGUAAGAGGUACUACAGGGGUAGGAGUGAAAUCUUGUAAUCCCUGUGGGACCACCUGUGGCGAAGGCGUCUUACCAGAACGGGUUCGACGGUGAGGGA
rnacentral:rRNA from 1 species